rnacentral:misc_RNA from 1 species
GACCUCUCUUCUUGAAUUUAUACUGGAUUUCUGAGUAACAAAACAAAAUAAAUAAAAACUUUCAGCAACGGAUCUCUUGGCUCUGGCAUCGAUGAAGAACGCAGCGAAAUGCGAUAAGUAAUGUGAAUUGCAGAAUUCAGUGAACCAUCGAAUCUUUGAACGCACAUUGCGCCCACCAGUACUCUGGUGGGCAUGCCUGUCCGAGCGUCAUUUCAACCCUCAGGGCCCGUCCGCGGGACCUGGUGUUGGGGAUCGGCCCCUACCGGCCGGCCCCCGAAAUACAGUGGCGGCACACCCGCGACCUCCUCUGCGUAGUAGCAAUGCCUCGCAGCUGGAUAGCGGAUGCGCCUCGCCGUAAAACCCCCCACUUACCAAAGGUUGACCUCGGAUCAGGUAGGAAUACCCGCUGAACUUAAGCAUAUCAAUAAGCGGAGGAAAAGAAACCAACAGGGAUUGCCCUAG